rnacentral:tRNA from 1 species
AAGCUAACUAAGGCCCCCUCCCGUCUCACCCUUUAUUAAGGGGGGGGGGCCGCCCAGGGGUUGGGGGGGUCGUUGGCUUU